rnacentral:rRNA from 1 species
AGGGGAACCUGCGGAGGGAUC